GACGAACGCUGGCGGCGUGCUUAACACAUGCAAGUCGAACGGAAAGGCCCUGCUUUUGUGGGGUGCUCGAGUGGCGAACGGGUGAGUAACACGUGAGUAACCUGCCCUUGACUUUGGGAUAACUUCAGGAAACUGGGGCUAAUACCGGAUAGGAGCUCCUGCUGCAUGGUGGGGGUUGGAAAGUUUCGGCGGUUGGGGAUGGACUCGCGGCUUAUCAGCUUGUUGGUGGGGUAGUGGCUUACCAAGGCUUUGACGGGUAGCCGGCCUGAGAGGGUGACCGGCCACAUUGGGACUGAGAUACGGCCCAGACUCCUACGGGAGGCAGCAGUGGGGAAUAUUGCACAAUGGGCGGAAGCCUGAUGCAGCAACGCCGCGUGCGGGAUGACGGCCUUCGGGUUGUAAACCGCUUUCGCCUGUGACGAAGCGUGAGUGACGGUAAUGGGUAAAGAAGCACCGGCUAACUACGUGCCAGCAGCCGCGGUGAUACGUGGGGUGCGAGCGUUGUCCGGAUUUAUUGGGCGUAAAGGGCUCGUAGGUGGUUGAUCGCGUCGGAAGUGUAAUCUUGGGGCUUAACCCUGAGCGUGCUUUCGAUACGGGUUGACUUGAGGAAGGUAGGGGAGAAUGGAAUUCCUGGUGGAGCGGUGGAAUGCGCAGAUAUCAGGAGGAACACCAGUGGCGAAGGCGGUUCUCUGGGCCUUUCCUGACGCUGAGGAGCGAAAGCGUGGGGAGCGAACAGGCUUAGAUACCCUGGUAGUCCACGCUGUAAACGGUGGGUACUAGGUGUGGGGUCCAUUCCACGGGUUCCGUGCCGUAGCUAACGCUUUAAGUACCCCGCCUGGGGAGUACGGCCGCAAGGCUAAAACUCAAAGGAAUUGACGGGGCCCCGCACAAGCGGCGGAGCAUGCGGAUUAAUUCGAUGCAACGCGUAGAACCUUACCUGGGUUUGACAUGGAUCGGGAGCGCUCAGAGAUGGGUGUGCCUCUUUUGGGGUCGGUUCACAGGUGGUGCAUGGCUGUCGUCAGCUCGUGUCGUGAGAUGUUGGGUUAAGUCCCGCAACGAGCGCAACCCUUGUUCACUGUUGCCAGCACGUUAUGGUGGGGACUCAGUGGAGACCGCCGGGGUCAACUCGGAGGAAGGUGGGGAUGACGUCAAGUCAUCAUGCCCCUUAUGUCCAGGGCUUCACGCAUGCUACAAUGGCUGGUACAGAGAGUGGCGAGCCUGUGAGGGUGAGCGAAUCUCGGAAAGCCGGUCUCAGUUCGGAUUGGGGUCAGCAACUCGACCUCAUGAAGUCGGAGUCGCUAGUAAUCGCAGAUCAGCAACGCUGCGGUGAAUACGUUCCCGGGGCU
rnacentral:rRNA from 1 species